rnacentral:misc_RNA from 1 species
GGAGGCCCUUAAACAGUUCAAAGUUCAAUUACCGUUUCUUGUCUCAUCUCACACGAAGCAACGAAAUUUAACUAACAAGAUAAUUUCCACUGCAAGUUUAAAAACAACACAUGAUAGCCGUCCUCAGGCAGAGUUCUUUUCUUUAGUUCUUGUUCCUUGAAACUAUGCACCAUCUGCAAGUGUCCUCUUUGAUGUACUGAUGUAGAGAACAUUAUUUCCUCGUAUGAAAGCAUCACCGUACUUGUUUUUUAACUGUCCAUUUACGUAUUCUUCUGUUUGCUCCAUGGCUAUAUUCAUAUAUCCAUCCAGGCAGGCUAGAAUACCUCUAUAAUCAACUCCAGAAUUGAGCUUAACUACAACAGGUCGCCCGCGAAUUGAUUUAAGGAAAUCAGCUGGUGUUUUUGUAGUUGUUGAUCCCUUUUCUCCACCUGUACUCAUUCUUUUUUUUUCCUCUGUAACUUGCGGAUUUCAGAAACCGAGAAGGAAGCUCCGCCUAGGUCUUUUUUCCUUGCCAGAGACUCAGCUGUUUAGGGCAUUUUUACUCGUACAAAACAGUGUUUU